CUCUGCCUACGGGACGCAGCAGUGAGGAAUAUUGGUCAAUGGCCGCAGGGCUGAACCAGCCAAGUCGCGUGAGGGAUGACGGUCCUAUGGAUUGUAAACCUCUUUUGUCAGGGAGCAAAAGGCGCCACGUGUGGCGUUUUGCGAGUACCUGAAGAAAAAGCAUCGGCUAACUCUGUGCCAGCAGCCGCGGUAAUACGGAGGAUGCGAGCGUUAUCCGGAUUUAUUGGGUUUAAAGGGCGCGCAGGCGGAAUGUCAAGUCAGCGGUAAAAUUUCGGGGCUCAACCCCGUCGUGCCGUUGAAACUGG
rnacentral:rRNA from 1 species